CUCCGUCCUGUGUCAGAGGGUGCAGGGACACAGGGUGGGAGGAAACUUCACAGCCUGUGCUCAUGGGUGCAUGUGCGUGUGAGUGAGAGAGACAGAAAGAGAUGGAGAGAAUCAGUCCAGGCCACCCUUAGAAAGCCGGGUCCAAAAGAGCAGCUGGAGGCAUCUAGAGGACGAUGUCAGGAGGUCUAAGAAAUCUUUUGGUGUUUAUUUUGUUUUGAAUGUCCGGCACCAGAAUCCCUCUUAAAGAGGGUAGCAAAGUGAGUGGGUGUGCUUAAAACUACUGCAAAAUGAGCAACGGCAAUUGUUCCGCACCAGGCACAGACGCAGUGAGCAGCAGUCUGUAUAGAAUGCAAAAGAGGAAGAAAAGGAGACAUGAACCUCGUCUUCUUUCUUUCACAGAAAGGUCCACCAGCUAGCUGUUCCCAAGCCUCAACAUGAUUCACCAAGGAGGAGGCAGCGGUGAUUCAUCUCCAAGGAGCCUUCCCACGCCCACACCUGCUUCGCAUAGAAGGGGUUUCCUGGACAGUCCCUGCUGAAAAGCCUAGGUGGACUGAACUGGAAACCUGAUAUCAGGAACCCGUUUCUAUGCCUGGGGUAGGAUUAGGGGCAGCAGGAGGUGUCAGAAAUGGGAGCCUGGACACUGCCCAAGUUGGCUCACUCACCCCUUGGGGAGCAGUUCAAUGAAAAGAGAAAUGGCCUCACUAGCAGCGCCCCAGGUGUAAGUCUGGGUGCUGUCCCUGGCUCACCCUGCAAUGUUGGGAGUGGCAAUGAGACAGAGUUGGAAAACAGAACCUAGGAGAGCUACUAAUCCCCAAGGAACGACCACAGGAAACAUCCUGCCAUGGGGACCAAGAAAAGGAGCUGAGCAAAGUCUCCAGAGAGCAAGGAUGGAGUCAGGAGGCAGACAGAUGGAAGAACCAGGCUUCCCCUGUGCCACAAAGAACAUUGCCAUCUACCCGUGACCCAAACCAGACGCUUGGCUUCCUCCCAGCCUCCUGCUUCCCCUGGCUGCUAACCAGAUGUCUGGUCAGCCUGCUUGUUUCUAAGCAUGACUGGUCUCUGUCCACACUGCUUUAGGCCUCUUUCAAAUCAUCUGUCCCAGCUGCAUUCUCCUCCAGCCCUGCUCCUGGGCCUCACACUAACCCCUCCUCAGCUCUAAAAGUUCAAAUUUCUUCAGAUUACAGCAUUCAGUGAAUUCUCCUAACUUUUAGGAGACCCAGGCAUGGCAUCCCAUUCUUGACACACUAACUUUGCUGUGGUAUAGGUCAUACUUUUUCCUGACCCUGAACUUCUGCCCAUGCCAUGUACUCUCAUGGAAAGCCUUCCUCAGUGGAGCCACCCAUCAGCCUCUUUGAUUUCCUUUCUUUCUUUUUUUUUUUUUGAAGAUUUUAUUUAUUAUUUUAUGUUAUAUGCAUGAGUGUUUAUCUGAAUGUAUGCAUGUCUGUGUGCCACAUUCAUACAGUGCCCAAGGAAACCAGAAAAUGGUGUCAGACCCCAGGGACUGGGUUAUAGACUGUUGUGAGUCUUCGAACCUGGGUCCUCUGGAAAAGUAGCCAGGUGCUCUUAACCCCUAGGCCAUCUCUCCAGCUCCAGCACAAGCUCCUUAAUCACCCUUCCAGCUCACCUCAAAGGUCAUUUCCUCUGGGUUCAGCCCCAAAUCCAUUUCCCAGGUCCCCUGCAUGCUUGAGCAGGCCCAUGCUCACACUUAGGCGCUCCCCAGCCAGUCCCUCAGCCUGUUGCUCAUGGCUCUAUAGCAUCAUUUUUAUUAAUUCUGACUUUAAAUAUCUCUCCCACUAGAAAUAAAUGCUAAGCUUCAUGAAACCCUCCAUUCCCUAGUGCCUAGCACAAAAUAAGUGUCUGCUAGAUGGUGGCUGUAGGCUCAAGUGCUGUCCCUCACAGCCAAAUCCUUCUCUCCUCCCUGGACUAUCCUACCUCCAGAUACACCCAGUCCUCUACCCAACCCCUGAACCUUCUGAAAACUGACUUGUUACCAUUCCAUGGGAUCAGCUCUCUCCAGUGCCACCAGAGACUCCCUUCUUUUGAUGGAAAGGGAGCAGCUUGAUGACCCCUUCCUCAGAAGAGUUCUUCUGAGGGAACAAUUCAUUCCACGUGUGCCCUCUCCACCUCCAUGAGAAAACUCUGUUCUCCCCUCCCACAGAUGCUGCUCCUUCUCAUCCAACAUAGCCUCACGAGAAGGGCACCCUUCUCUGUUCCCUUCCUCUACCAACCCCCUGGAGCCUGUGGUUGGGCAGCUUCUGUCUGUGGGGAGGUGUGACUUUUCCUGGGGCAAGGUGAGCAAAUGUCUGUAUUGAACUCAC